rnacentral:rRNA from 1 species
ACGGAAGGCAGCAGUGAGGAAUAUUGGUCAAUGGGCGAGAGCCUGAACCAGCCAAGUCGCGUGAAGGAUGAAGGUUCUAUGGAUUGUAAACUUCUUUCGUAUGAGGGUAAAGUGACUUACGUGUAAGUUAUUGCAAGUAUCAUACGAAUAAGCAUCGGCUAACUCCGUGCCAGCAGCCGCGGUAAUACGGAGGAUGCGAGCGUUAUCCGGAUUUAUUGGGUUUAAAGGGUGCGCAGGCGGCACGUUAAGUCAGCGGUGAAAUGCAGGGGCUCAACCCCGGCACUGCCGUUGAAACUGGCGAGCUCGAGUACGGAUGAAGUCGGCGGAAUGUGAUGUGUAGCGGUGAAAUGCUUAGAUAUGUCACAGAACACCGAUUGCGAAGGCAGCUGACUAAUCCGCAACUGACGCUCAGGCACGAAAGCGUGGGGAUCGAACAGGAUUAGAUACCCUGGUA